rnacentral:rRNA from 1 species
UACGUAGGGUGCGAGCGUUAAUCGGAAUUACUGGGCGUAAAGCGUGCGCAGGCGGUUUUGUAAGCCAGAUGUGAAAUCCCCGGGCUCAACCUGGGAAUGGCGCUUGAAACUACGGUGCUGGAGUGUGGCAGAGGGAGGUGGAAUUCCACGUGUAGCGGUGAAAUGCGUAGAGAUGUGGAGGAACACCGAUGGCGAAGGCAGCCUCCUGGGCCAACACUGACGCUCAUGCACGAAAGCGUGGGGAGCAAACAGG